UACGGAGGGAGCUAGCGUUAUUCGGAAUUACUGGGCGUAAAGCGCACGUAGGCGGCUUUGUAAGUUAGAGGUGAAAGCCUGGAGCUCAACUCCAGAAUUGCCUUUAAGACUGCAUCGCUUGAAUCCAGGAGAGGUGAGUGGAAUUCCGAGUGUAGAGGUGAAAUUCGUAGAUAUUGGGAAGAACACCAGUGGCGAAGGCGGCUCACUGGCCCGUAACUGACGCUGAGGUGCGAAAGCGUGGGGAGCAAACAGG
rnacentral:rRNA from 1 species